AGAGUUUGAUUAUGGCUCAGGAUGAACGCUAGCGGCAGGCUUAACACAUGCAAGUCGAGGGGCAGCGGGGAGGAAGCUUGCUUUCUCCGCCGGCGACCGGCGCACGGGUGAGUAACACGUAUGCAACCUGCCCCUGUCAGGGGGACAACCCGCCGAAAGGCGGGCUAAACCCGCGUACAUGCCACCGGGGCAUCCCGGAGGCAGGAAAGGCUUCGGCCGGACAGGGAUGGGCAUGCGGCGCAUUAGGCAGUAGGCGGGGUAACGGCCCACCUAACCGACGAUGCGUAGGGGUUCUGAGAGGAAGGUCCCCCACACUGGUACUGAGACACGGACCAGACUCCUACGGGAGGCAGCAGUGAGGAAUAUUGGUCAAUGGUCGGGAGACUGAACCAGCCAAGCCGCGUGAGGGAGGAAGGUACAGAGUAUCGUAAACCUCUUUUGUCAGGGAACAAAGACUGGGACGCGUCCCCGGAUGAGUGUACCUGAAGAAAAAGCAUCGGCUAACUCCGUGCCAGCAGCCGCGGUAAUACGGAAGAUGCGAGCGUUAUCCGGAUUUAUUGGGUUUAAAGGGUGCGCAGGCGGUCUGUUAAGUCAGCGGUCAAAGCCCGGGGGCUCAACCCCGGCCCGCCGUUGAA
rnacentral:rRNA from 1 species